CCUACGGGUGGCAGCAGUAGGGAAUAUUGCUCAAUGGGGGAAACCCUGAAGCAGCAACGCCGCGUGGAGGAUGAAGGUUUUCGGAUUGUAAACUCCUUUUGUUAGAGAAGAUAAUGACGGUAUCUAACGAAUAAGCACCGGCUACCUCAGUGCCAGCAGCCGCGGUAAUACGGAGGGUGCAAGCGUUACACGGAAUCACUGGGCGUAAAGAGCGCGUAGGCGGGAUAGCAAGUCAGAUGUGAAAUCCUAUGGCUUAACCAUAGAACUGCAGUUGAAACUGUUAUUCUAGAGUAUGGGAGAGGUAUGUGGAAUGCUUGGUGUAGGGGUAAAAUGCGUAGAGAUCAAGAGGAAUACUCAGUGCGAAGGCGACCUGCUAGAACAUAACUGACGCUGAUGCGCGAAAGCGUGGGGAGCAAACAGGAUUAGAUACCCGGGUAGUC
rnacentral:rRNA from 1 species